rnacentral:rRNA from 2 species
UAGGGAAUCUUCGGCAAUGGGGGGAACCCUGACCGAGCAACGCCGCGUGAGUGAAGAAGGUUUUCGGAUCGUAAAGCCCUGUUGUUAAGGAAGAACGAGUGUGAGAAUGGAAAGUUCAUGCUGUGACGGUACUUAACCAGAAAGGGACGGCUAACUACGUGCCAGCAGCCGCGGUAAUACGUAGGUCCCGAGCGUUGUCCGGAUUUAUUGGGCGUAAAGCGAGCGCAGGCGGUUAGAAAAGUCUGAAGUGAAAGGCAGUGGCUCAACCAUUGUAGGCUUUGGAAACUGUUUAACUUGAGUGCAGAAGGGGAGAGUGGAAUUCCAUGUGUAGCGGUGAAAUGCGUAGAUAUAUGGAGGAACACCGGUGGCGAAAGCGGCUCUCUGGUCUGUAACUGACGCUGAGGCUCGAAAGCGUGGGGAGCGAACAGG